ncrna:Petromyzon marinus (sea lamprey) microRNA pma-mir-375a precursor
CGUCACGCCGAGCCCGACGCGCAAUGCUGGCCGCCGCUGUGCGCGCUUUGUUCGUUCGGCUCGCGUUACGC